ensembl:lncRNA
CCCUGGCAGCUGGACCUGGCGGAGCUGCAGAAGGAGCUGCAGAAGAGCCGCAGCGUGUUCCCUGAGAACCCCUCGGUGUGGGUGAAGGACCUGGCUGGGUACCUCAACUACAAACUGCAAGCACCCAGGAGUGACCCCGUGCUGAGCCAGCACCCUCACGACUACCCGUACUGCCUGGUGGGCAAGGAGCUCAGGGGCAUCAUCCGCUCCCUGCUGGCCAAGGCCUCCGACGUCCUGGAGCUCUUCUUUGACCACUGCAUCUACACCAUGCUGCAGGAGCUGGACAAGGCCCAAGGGGAGUCCCUGCACGGGUACAGGAUCUGCAUCCAGGCCCUGCUGCUGUACCGGCCCCGCAUCGCCACCACCAACCUGGGCAAGGUGAGCUGGCCUGGGCUGGGUUUGCCUGNUGUCACUGCCGUGUCUGGGAGGAUCCCCAAGGAAGCCUCUGAUGGCUGAACCUCCUCCCUGUAGCACUGGUGGGGCCCUGGGAGUCGCUGGCGCAGUUCUGUGCCCUGGCUGGCUCUGCAGAACCUGUCUGUCUGUCCUGCCUGUCUGUGUCUGUCCUGCCUGUCCUGGUCGUGUCUGGGCACGGAGGGUUCCAGAACUGGCCGAGGCAGGCUGGGUUGGGGUGAUGUGUCCCUGGGCUGGCAGGCAUUGCUGGCUCAGCUCCUCCACAUCCCCCUCGUGCCCUGGGACCUCCACUGCCCCCAAAUGAGGGGGUUCCCUCUGCAUGCCCCUGCCCUGGGUGGGGUUCUCUGCAUGGUUCCAGUAUCCCUGCACACCCAGUUUUGCCCACAGUGACAGGACUGUGUGGCAUUCCCGUCCUUCCUGGGGAGGCAGGGCAGCCAGAGCUGUCCCUGUGCUCAGGGGUCAGCCACUGUCACCUCACUGAGGGGGGUUUGGGACAGAUGUCAUUCCCUGUGUGGCACCAGCUGGUUUGUGUGGAGUUCCUCUCACCAGGUGAGGUGCCCAGGGUACCUGGCUCAGUGAGGCAGUGGGAAACCAAUCUCACAGCUCUGAGCCUUGCAGCAAGCCCUGCUGGAGCAGCCCCACGGAGCAGCAGGUGUCAAAGCAGGGAUGGACAUGCCUGGGUAGCAGUGCAGUACAGGUGGGAGCUGCUGCUGCCCAGUUUGGUGCUGAGGGCUGUUCUCCAGGUGGGCUUGGCUGCUCAGGGCAGGGAUGGACAUGCCUGGGUGGCAGUGCAGGAGGGGUGGGAGCUGCUGCUGCCCGGUUUGGUGCUGAGGGCUGUUCACCAGAUGGGUUUGGCUGCUCAGGGCAGGGAUGGACAUGCCUGGGUGGCAGUGCAGUACAGGUGGGAGCUGCUGUUGCUGCCUGGUGUGGUGCUGAGGGCUGUUCAUUGGGUGGGUUUGGCUGCUCAGGGCUGUGUCCUCCCUCGCUGGGGGCUCUGGGUGUGCAGAGUGGAGCAGCCCCGGCUGGGAUCAGCCCAGGUCUGUGCUGGCCAUGGUUUGGGUGAUGGGCUCCCUGGGCAGGGCCAGCUGCCCCAGGCCAUGCAGCUCCAGGGUGUUCCAUGUGGGCUGGGAUGGAGCUGGAAGCAUUGCCCUCCAUGCCCCUUGGGACCC